rnacentral:rRNA from 1 species
UAAGUAUUGAGGCAGUUCUGGUAGGCAAAUCCGCCAGAAUAAUGCUAGGGUACGAUGCGGAGCGAAAUUUAGUAGCGAAGUAGCUGAUUUCACACUGUCGAGAAAAGUCUCUAUCGAGGUUAAAGGUGCCUGUACCGCAAACCGACACAGGUGGGUGAGGAGAGUAUCCUAAGGCCAGCCAGAGAACUGUUGUUAAGGAACUCGGCAAAAUGACCCCGUAACUUAGGGAGAAGGGGUGCCUUCGAAAGAAGGCCGCAGAGAAUAGGCCCAAGCGACUGUUUACCAAAAACAUAGGUUUCUGCUAAGUCGCAAGACGAUGUAUAGGAGCUGACGCCUGCCCGGUGCUGGAAGGUUAAGGGGAUCUGUUAGAGCAAUCGAAGCAGUGAACUUAAGCCCCAGUAAACGGCGGCCGUAACAAUAACGGUCCUAAGGUAGCGAAAUUCCUUGUCGGGUAAGUUCCGACCCGCACGAAAGGCGUAACGAUUUGGGCACUGUCUCAACAACAGACUGGGUGAAAUUGUAAUACCGGUGAAGAUGCCGGUUACCUGCGACAGGACGGAAAGACCCCAUGGAGCUUUACUGUAGCUUGACAUUGAGUCUCGGUGCUACAUGUACAGGAUAGGUGGGAGGCUAUGAAGCAUGGACGUCAGUUUGUGUGGAGCCAUCCUUGGGAUACCACCCUUGUAGUACUGGGAUUCUAACCAGCUGCCUUGAAUCAGGUAGUGGGACACUGUCAGGUGGACAGUUUGACUGGGGCGGUCGCCUCCUAAAGAGUAACGGAGGCGCUCAAGGGUUCUCUCAGUACGGUCGGAAAUCGUACGUAGAGUGUAAAGGCAGAAGAGAGCUUGAUUGCAAGACAUACAGGUCGAGCAAGGACGAAAGUCGGACUUAGUGAUCCGGUGGUACCGCAUGGAAGGGCCAUCGCUCAACGGAUAAAAGCUACCCUGGGGAUAACAGGCUGAUCUCCCCCAAGAGUCCACAUCGACGGGGAGGUUUGGCACCUCGAUGUCGGCUCAUCACAUCCUGGGGCUGUAGUAGGUCCCAAGGGUUGGGCUGUUCGCCCAUUAAAGUGGUACGCGAGCUGGGUUCAGAACGUCGUGAGACAGUUCGGUCCCUAUCCGUCGCAGGCGUAGGAAAUUUGAGGAGACCUGUCCUUAGUACGAGAGGACCGGGAUGGACGUACCGCUGGUGUACCAGUUGUUCUGCCAAGGGCAUAGCUGGGUAGCUAAGUACGGAAAGGAUAAGCGCUGAAAGCAUCUAAGCGCGAAGCCUACUUCGAGAUAAGAUUUCCCACCGCAAGGUUAAGACCCCAUGAAGACUACAUGGUUGAUAGGUCAGAGGUGGAAGUGUGGUAACAUAUGUAGCUUACUGAUACUAAUAGGUCGAGGACUUGAUC